UGUUUCCUCACCUCCCCCCCCCCAACCUCGCAAUCCGGGCUCGGCCGCGGCUCCCGGGGCGGUUGCCAUGGAAACGGCGGGGAGCAAGCAACGCGCGGCGCGCGAGGCGCUUCAUCACGGCCAGGUGGGCCGAAGCUGCGCAGGGCCCCUGCUUUACCUGGCUCUGAGUUCGAAUCCUGAUCACGUCCUUGGCAAGUUCAGCUGAUUAUAAAAUAAACGUUUUAUGUGUUAACGUUA